UGGGGAAUCUUGGACAAUGGGCGCAAGCCUGAUCCAGCCAUGCCGCGUGGAUGAUGAAGGCCUUAGGGUUGUAAAAUCCUUUCGCCGAGGACGAUAAUGACGGUACUCGGAGAAGAAGCUCCGGCUAACUUCGUGCCAGCAGCCGCGGUAAUACGAAGGGGGCUAGCGUUGUUCGGAUUUACUGGGCGUAAAGCGCGUGUAGGCGGGUUGGAAAGUUGGGGGUGAAAUCCCGAGGCUCAACCUCGGAACUGCCUCCAAAACUUCCAGCCUGGACUCAAGUAGAGGCAAGUGGAAUUGCGAGUGUAGAGGUGAAAUUCGUAGAUAUUCGCAGGAACACCAGUGGCGAAGGCGACUUGCUGGACUUGUAGUGACGCUGAGACGCGAAAGCGUGGGGAGCAAACAGGAUUAGAUACCCAGGUAGUCCCUGAGCGGGCUGGCAAGGCGCAU
rnacentral:rRNA from 1 species